ensembl:ncRNA F07B10.8 ncRNA
GACGGAAGUAACAAUUGAAUGAGUAAGUGUUGAACAGAUCCGAAACUGGUCCCAUUGUUCGAAUGAAAAGAUCUAUGUAAACUUUUGUUGGUUUUCCAGCUAUAAAUAAAUGUGAAUAAUUUGAAUUAAACAUUUUAUAAAAGUUACAGUUAAACCCGGGUCGGAAAUGUUGAUCGUAAUUUUUCAAAACAUUAUUGAGAAGAUGUGUGACGUUUUGAGC